rnacentral:rRNA from 1 species
AGGAUGAAUGCUGGCGGCGCGCCUAACACAUGCAAGUCGAGCGGUAAGGCCCUUAGGGGUACACGAGCGGCGGACGGCUGAGUAACGCGUGGGAACAUGCCCCAAAGUGAGGAAUAACUGCCCGAAAAGGGUAGCUAAUGCCGCAUAUGAUCUUAGGAUUAAAGGAUUUAUCCGCUUUGGGAGUGGCCUGCGUACGAUUAGAUAGUUGGUGAGGUAAAGGCUCACCAAGUCUACGAUCGUUAACUGUUCUGAGAGGAUGAUCAGUCAGACUGGAACUGAGACACGGUCCAGACUCCUACGGGAGGCAGCAGUGAGGAAUCUUCCACAAUGGGCGAAAGCCUGAUGGAGCGACGCCGCGUGCAGGAUGAAGGCCUUAGGGUUGUAAACUGCUUUAUAAGUGAAGAUAUGACGGUAACUUAUGAAUAAGCACCGGCUAACGUACGUGCCAGCAGCCGCGGUAA